UACAGAGGGUGCAAGCGUUAAUCGGAAUUACUGGGCGUAAAGCGUGCGUAGACGGUUAUGUAAGUCGGGUGUGAAAGCCCCGGGCUCAACCUGGGAAUUGCAUUCGAGACUGCAGAGCUUGAGUACCGGAGAGGGUGGCGGAAUUCCCCAAGUAGAGGUGAAAUUCGUAGAUAUGGGGAGGAACACCGGUGGCGAAGGCGGCCACCUGGACGGUCACUGACGCUGAGACGCGAAAGCGUGGGGAGCAAACAGG
rnacentral:rRNA from 1 species